GGCACUGUGCCGGAAUAACGGAUUACAUUGAUGUUGUAAAAUAUAAGAUAAUUCUUUAGUGCUU
rnacentral:tRNA from 1 species